GCAGUACUCCCUCCGUCCGGAAAUACUUGUCAUCAAAAUGGAUAAAAAGGAUGUAUCUACAUGUAUUUUAGUUCUAGAUACAUCCCUUUUUAUCCAUUCCGAUGACAAGUAUUUUCGGACGGAGGGAGUAUAUG
rfam:Triticum aestivum genome assembly, contig: Triticum_aestivum_CS42_TGACv1_scaffold_517497_6BS